rnacentral:sRNA from 1 species
AAAGAAAAGAAAGAAAGAAAAA